rnacentral:rRNA from 1 species
AUGGUAAGAAAGGUUCCCAACGCCAUCUUGCCCAAGGGGGCUUUUGGGGAAAUAGUCAAGGUGUGGCAGCAGGAGUGGUUCUACAUCACCGAACCCCACGACGUCAAGUGGGCGACCAUACCUGACAUCAGACCCAGUACCCCUACGAGACACACCUCGUGGGACGCCAAGGGUCUUGAUUGGGGGUCUCAACCGGAUGUCAUGAUGCUACAAAAGCACAUCUCGAAUGUGUUGGGUAAAAACACUAGCCUCACAAACGUGAUCCAAGUGAUGCUCUUCCGCCGUGUCCUCCGCUGCCAACUCCGGGCCUCCCCUAUGUGGGAGUUCAACCCGGAAGAACCACGGACCUUGAAGCGCUUCUUCGGCACCAUGCACGAAGAUAUAUGUAAGCAUCUUUUCAAGGCCCAAAAGAAUUGGCCGAUGAAGACUGAAGACAUCGGACUCGACAACGAGAACCCGACCUCGAUGGGCUGGACGGCGAAGGCAGAGCGGAUCAACUGUCCGGCGCCGCUGCUGGAGAACCCGGCCACCCCCAGCUAUCGAAGAUGCUGGUCCCGGCAGCGUAUCAAGCACCGGAGAAGAAGGCCAAGAAGAAGAAGGGCAGGGAGGCCAAGGACAACCCCCGCGACAAGCGUUCUGCGGACGCUGUGUCCGGAGAGACCGAAGCCGCCUCCUCCCAUGAGGAAGAUCAGGAAGAAGAAGAAGAGGAGGUGGAAAGCGACUCCCCCUGCAAGGGGAGGAAGAAGAAGAGGGUGUCCUCCGAAGACCCGAAUGGGGAGGCGUCAAAGAGGGGAAAGAUGGUCGUCCAGGACAGUUCGGAUUCAGAUACCGAACUGGCCCCCAAGAGGCCACCCAGGGCAAAGCCCCUAG